UACGUAGGGUGCAAGCGUUGUCCGGAAUCAUUGGGCGUAAAGAGCGUGUAGGCGGCCCGGUAAGUCCGCUGUGAAAGUCGGGGGCUCAACCCUCGAAUGCCGGUGGAUACUGUCGGGCUAGAGUGCGGAAGAGGCGAGUGGAAUUCCUGGUGUAGCGGUGAAAUGCGCAGAUAUCAGGAGGAACACCGAUUGCGAAGGCAGCUCGCUGGGACGUCACUGACGCUGAGACGCGAAAGCGUGGGGAGCAAACAGG
rnacentral:rRNA from 1 species